rnacentral:rRNA from 1 species
GACGAACGCUGGCGGCGUGCUUAACACAUGCAAGUCGAACGGAAAGGCCCUGCUUUUGUGGGGUGCUCGAGUGGCGAACGGGUGAGUAACACGUGAGUAACCUGCCCUUGACUUUGGGAUAACUUCAGGAAACUGGGGCUAAUACCGGAUAGGAGCUCCUGCUGCAUGGUGGGGGUUGGAAAGUUUCGGCGGUUGGGGAUGGACUCGCGGCUUAUCAGCUUGUUGGUGGGGUAGUGGCUUACCAAGGCUUUGACGGGUAGCCGGCCUGAGAGGGUGACCGGCCACAUUGGGCCUGGGAUACGGCCCAGACUCCUACGGGGGGCAGCAGUGGGGAAUAUUGCACAAUGGGCGGAAGCCUGAUGCAGCAACGCCGCGUGCGGGAUGACGGCCUUCGGGUUGUAAACCGCUUUCGCCUGUGACGAAGCGUGAGUGACGGUAAUGGGGAAAGAAGCACCGGCUAACUACGU